AUCGAGUUGAAGAGUCCCAAAUAGGAUGAGAUGCGCAUCCUGGAU
rnacentral:hammerhead_ribozyme from 1 species